AUUGAACGCUGGCGGCAUGCUUUACACAUGCAAGUCGAACGGUAACAGGCCUUCGGGCGCUGACGAGUGGCGAACGGGUGAGUAAUGCAUCGGAACGUGCCCAGUCGUGGGGGAUAACUAUCCGGAAGGAUAGCUAAUGCCGCAUACGAUCUGCGGAUGAAAGCGGGGGACCUUCGGGCCUCGCGCGAUUGGAGCGGCCGAUGUCAGAUUAGGUAGUUGGUGGGGUAAAGGCUCACCAAGCCAACGAUCUGUAGCUGGUCUGAGAGGACGACCAGCCACACUGGACUGAGACACGGCCCAGACUCCUACGGGAGGCAGCAGUGGGGAAUUUUGGACAAUGGGCGCAAGCCUGAUCCAGCAAUGCCGCGUGCAGGAAGAAGGCCUUCGGGUUGUAAACUGCUUUUGUACGGAACGAAACGGCUCUGGUUAAUACCCGGGGCUAAUGACGGUACCGUAAGAAUAAGCACCGGCUAACUACGUGCCAGCCGCCGCAGUAAUAC
rnacentral:rRNA from 1 species